rnacentral:rRNA from 1 species
AUUGAACGCUGGCGGCAUGCUUUACACAUGCAAGUCGAACGGCAACAGGCCGCAAGGUGCUGACGAGUGGCGAACGGGUGAGUAAUGCAUCGGAACGUGCCCAGUCGUGGGGGAUAACGCAGCGAAAGCUGUGCUAAUACCGCAUACGAUCUAUGGAUGAAAGCGGGGGACCGUAAGGCCUCGCGCGAUUGGAGCGGCCGAUGUCAGAUUAGGUAGUUGGUGGGGUAAAGGCCUACCAAGCCGACGAUCUGUAGCUGGUCUGAGAGGACGACCAGCCACACUGGGACUGAGACACGGCCCAGACUCAUACGGGAGGCAGCAGUGGGGAAUUUUGGACAAUGGGCGCAAGCCUGAUCCAGCAAUGCCGCGUGCAGGAAGAAGGCCUUCGGGUUGUAAACUGCUUUUGUACGGAACGAAACGGUCUGGGUUAAUACCCGGGGCUAAUGACGGUACCGUAAGAAUAAGCACCGGCUAACUACGUGCCAGCCGCCGCGGUAAGAC